rnacentral:miRNA from 12 species
CAGCCACCACUACCCUGCCAC